rnacentral:rRNA from 1 species
UACAUGUGGGGCAAGCGUUGUUCGGAAUCACUGGGCAUAAAGGGUGCGUAGGCGGCUUAUUAAGUCAGGGGUGAAAUCCGGUGGCCCAACCAUCGAACUGCCUUUGAUACUGAUGAGCUUGAGUGCGUGAGGGGUAACCGGAACGAGUAGUGUAGCGGUGAAAUGCGUAGAUAUUACUCGGAAGGCCAACGGCGAAGGCAGGUUACUGGUACGCAACUGACGCUGAGGCACGAAAGCGUGGGGAGCAAACAGGG